AUUGAACGCUGGCGGCAUGCUUUACACAUGCAAGUCGAACGGUAACAGGCCUUCGGGUGCUGACGAGUGGCGAACGGGUGAGUAAUGCAUCGGAACGUGCCCAGAGGUGGGGGAUAACGCAGCGAAAGCUGUGCUAAUACCGCAUGUGAUCUGAGGAUGAAAGCGGGGGACCAAGCAGCAAUGUUUGGCCUCGCGCCUCUGGAGCGGCCGAUGUCAGAUUAGGUAGUUGGUGGGGUAAAGGCCCACCAAGCCGACGAUCCGUAGCUGGUCUGAGAGGACGACCAGCCACACUGGGACUGAGACACGGCCCAGACUCCUACGGGAGGCAGCAGUGGGGAAUGUUGGACAAUGGGCGCGAGCCUGAUCCAGCAAUGCCGCGUGCGGGAAGAAGGCCUUCGGGUUGUAAGCCGCUUUUGUACGGAACGAAAAGGCUCUGGCUAAUACCUGGGGCUGAUGACGGUACCGUAAGAAUAAGCACCGGCUAACUACGUG
rnacentral:rRNA from 1 species